GUCGUAUGGAAUUUGGACUCAUGCAUACUCACAGUUGUGUGAGACACUUUUAUAAAAUCUUAUAUUUAUAGAUACUUCCUGUUGCUUCUGUUUCCUUAGAGAACCCUAACUAAUACAACUAGGUAUUGAAAUAGUUAAAAUGUAAGAGUCUAAUUGUUAUAAAGGGAACACAAAUAUGUUAUUUGUGAACAACAAUCUAUGACAUUAAAAAGGAAGCAGUUAUCAGUUUCCAGAUUAUUUUAGCAACUAAGAAAAAGGUAAAUAGGGUGGUAAAUAAUUAACCUCAAAUGUUAAACACUCCAAAGACUCUAAAACAUGUUGUUGGACAACCAAAAACUAAGCGUUAUAGAAAGAGUUGAAUAAGGUAUCUUUCAAAACAGUGCGAAAAGAAAUGAACAAAGAAAACAAUUCAGUCAUACAGUUGAAUCACAUGAUAUAGACUAUAAUGAACCCUUAUGACCUACAAAAAUGGCAGUUUCAUUUGGUUUAGUCUUAAAAUAGAGUUUUAAUUAGGUUUCUGCCUUUUUAAAAACCUGUUGUCAGUUUGUUUUUUUAAAAUCCCCUUUGGGUUCCUCAGAUGCAGGUGUCACACACCUCUUAUCCUUUAAAUUUUUGUAUUAGCAUGUACAUAAUAUCUUGAUUACAAUGUUUGUUCUGCAGAGCUGACCUUAGGAUGGGUAACAUAUUAGGUCAUAAUACAGAAUUUCAUUAUGGUUGAUUAUAGAGAUGUCUUUCUUUGACCUAUUGCUAGAGCUGUGAUACUAAACAAAUAUCUGAUGUUGUUUCAAUCUUUUUUCCCUCUAGAAAUAAAAGAAGUUCAAUGAAAAAAACCUUUACUUAAUUGUCAAUUACUUCUUGGAAUGCAUGAGGAUAUCAUCUGUUCUCAAUAUAAAACUCCAUUAAGCCGGCUUUCAAUCUAAUUAUUUUGAAGUUAUCAAGAAGAAUGAAGAUUAUCUAUAGUUUUAAAGGCCAUCAAAAUACUUCUGCCACCUUUGAAUUGCUGAUCAGACCAUAUAGGCCUGUCAGAGAUAGAUUUGCCAGACUGAAGUAAUUAUUUAUAUGAUUCCUUUUCUUAUACAAAUGGUAACUGAAACCCAUGCUGCUUUGGAAAGCUAUGUUUCAAACUGUACUUGCUGCCUGCAAACAAGUUUAUGUUUCUAUAGCCCAACACCCAACAAUAAUUAGUAUCAUUUUAAAAGGUGAAAUUAGAUGCCUAGGUCUUUGCUAAGUCACUGUGUUGCAGAAAACGAUAAGGAGGGAGGAGUACAAUACUGGCCUAAAAUAUUUUAAUCAAGGAAUUCCAGAUACAUCUCUCCACCCAUAUUUUGAUAUGUAACGUUAUCAUACGUGGUCCUAAUUUAGCAGUAAAACUUUGAAUAUUGCUAAAAAUGAAAUGCUACAGAAAUUUACAUGUUGUCAAGACUUGAGGACCAGAUCUUUUGGAGGUAUAGUUGUUAGGUAAUUAUGUGAAAUUUUCAGAUUUAGUUACUGAAAACCAAUCUGACCAUUGUAGAUUGGUUUGGAAGGUUUGUUUCUUGUGCAAAUAAAGAAGUAAAGUAGUAGGAAGGGAUGUUGAUUGCUGCUUUAGAAAAUACCUUAAUGUGGGAUUAAGGGGAGAGAAAAUGCCUAUCAGGCUAUGUUUAGAACCCACCAACUUCAAAGUAAGGAACGAAGGUAUGCAAAUUGCUAUAAGGCCAUUGUAUUAAAUAUUAGCAUUGUGGUUUGCACACAAGAAGAAAUUGCAUCAGCAAAUAAUCUAUUGAGUGUUGUUAUUUGGAUGGUACUGAGAUGAACAAUUGUUUUUGUUGUUGUCCGGGCUUUCCUACCCCCUGGUGGAUGUUGGAACUGUGCAUGUUGUGGGAGGUCAUGUGAUAGUGAUCCUUGUUUUAUUUUUUUCUUUUAGCUUGUCAAAACAGUUUAAUGUAGGUGGAAAGGAAUGAAUGAAAUGAAAAGAGUGGGUUAGAUGCAAUCAUCAGCUUUAUACUGAAGGUAAAGAAUGCUGCAGUUGGGGUAAUGUAACAAGCCCCCAGGAAUAUUCAGUUUGAUAAUGCUGAAAAGAAGGCAUUAAAAGCAACAGUGGCUAAUAUGUUUUAAAUCUCAUUUGAUACUUUGUUGCUACUUAUAUUGAUACUUUAUUUAAAAAUUUAUUAUUGUCAUCAUGAUAAUUUUUGUUUGUUUUGUUUUGUUUUGUUUUGUUUUAACUUUUAUUGGGAUUGUUCAGAUACGAUACAG